rnacentral:rRNA from 1 species
UUCAGCGCGUCUCCGAGCUGGCGAGCGGCGGGGUCUAGCGACGGACGUCCUUCGGGACGRCUGCGCYCCCYGUCACYGCGUCCGGUUUGAACGCGUGCACUUCUCCCCUAGUAGGACGUCGCGACCCGUUGGGUGUCGGCCUUAGGCUAGCGGUGGAGCCCGCGAGGACGGUCCCGGCCGUCCCUUGCGGACCCGCGAUGCCCGGCCGGCUCGCCCGACGGUUCCGAAAUGGCUUGGAGCCGCGAUUCGUUCGCGUCCGGCCCGUCGCAAGCUCGGACGGUUGCCCGGCUGUCGGWCCUAGCYCCGACACUGGAGCCGUUCGGCUGCUGGCGGCGGAGACSUCGKACGGACUCCUAUCACGCCAGUCGKCGACGCUUUAGCUUUGGGUACUUUCAKSACCCGUCUUGAAACACGGACCAAGGAGUCUAGCAUGUGCGCGAGUCAUUGKGACUUGCUAAACCUAAAGGCGAAAUGAAAGUGAAGGCACGCUUCGKGCAUGCCUAGGGAGGAUGGKCCGCGUCACCGUGCKCGGCCCCKCACUCCAGGGGCGUNUCCUUCUCCUUCGCGAGUAGAGGCGCACCCASAGCGUACACGCU